UAACUUAGUGGCGGACGGGUGAGUAAUGCGUGAGCAACCUGCCCUUCAGAGGGGGACAACAGUUGGAAACGACUGCUAAUACCGCAUAAUGUAUUCGGAAGGCAUCUUCUGAGUACCAAAGGAGAAAUCCGCUGAGGGAUGGGCUCACGUCUGAUUAGUUAGUUGGUGAGGUAACGGCUCACCAAGACUGCGAUCAGUAGCCGGACUGAGAGGUUGAACGGCCACAUUGGGACUGAGAUACGGCCCAGACUCCUACGGGAGGCAGCAGUGGGGAAUAUUGGGCAAUGGGCGAAAGCCUGACCCAGCAACGCCGCGUGAAGGAAGAAGGCCUUCGGGUUGUAAACUUCUUUUAAGAGGGACGAAGAAGUGACGGUACCUCUUGAAUAAGCCACGGCUAACUACGUGCCAGCAGCCGCGGUAAUACGUAGGUGGCGAGCGUUAUCCGGAUUUACUGGGUGUAAAGGGCGCGUAGGCGGGAAUGCAAGUCAGAUGUGAAAUCCAGGGGCUUAACCCUUGAACUGCAUUUGAAACUGUAUUUCUUGAGUGUCGGAGAGGUUGACGGAAUUCCUAGUGUAGCGGUGAAAUGCGUAGAUAUUAGGAGGAACACCAGUGGCGAAGGCGGUCAACUGGACGAUA
rnacentral:rRNA from 1 species